UAACCUGCUAAUUAGCGGCGAGUACUCUAUAUCCUUUAUUGGGAGAUUGGUUUUGACGUUUAUGUGGGCAUAUUGAUUAAUCAAUUGGUUUACCUUUUGCUCUUUUUCAUUAUGAUUCUUGCGUUUACGACAUGCCUUUUUUCUAGUAAGGAUGUAUUCGCUUUAUUUAAUGCUUCUUAGAGGAACGAUGUGUGUCUAACACAAGGAAGUUUAAGGCAACAACAGGUCUGUGAUGUCCUUAGAUAUACUAGGCUGCACGCGUGCUACACUGAUAUGUAAAACGAGUGCUUAAAUUUAUAUCUGUGCUUAGGUGUUAAAGCCUAUGUUUCAGUAUAUAUUUUUCCUCCACUGAAAAGUGUAGGUAAUCUUUAUCAAUACAUAUCGUGAUGGGGAUAGAUUAUUGCAAUUAUUAAUCUUGAACGAGGAAUGCCUAGUAAGCAUGAUUCAUCAGAUUGUGCUGACUACGUCCCUGCCCUUUGUACACACCGCCCGUCGCUCCUACCGAUUGAAAGAUAUGAUGAAUUGUUUGGACAAGAAAAUAGAAAUUUUAUUUUUAUUUUUUUGGAAGGACCGUAAAUCCUAUCUUUUAAAGGAAGGAGAAGUCGUAACAAGGUUUCCGUAGGUGAACCUGCGGAAGGAUCAUUA
rnacentral:rRNA from 1 species